AUUGAACGCUGGCGGCAUGCUUUACACAUGCAAGUCGAACGGUAACAGGUCUUCGGAUGCUGACGAGUGGCGAACGGGUGAGUAAUGUAUCGGAACGUGCCCAGUAGUGGGGGAUAACUACUCGAAAGAGUGGCUAAUACCGCAUGAGAACUGAGGUUGAAAGCGGGGGGACCUUCGGGCCUCGCGCUACUGGAGCGGCCGAUAUCAGAUUAGGUAGUUGGUGGGGUAAAGGCCUACCAAGCCGACGAUCUGUAGCUGGUCUGAGAGGACGACCAGCCACACUGGGACUGAGACACGGCCCAGACUCCUACGGGAGGCAGCAGUGGGGAAUUUUGGACAAUGGACGCAAGUCUGAUCCAGCAAUGCCGCGUGCAGGACGAAGGCCUCGGUUGGUAACUAGCUUUGUCUAGGGAAGGAAAAUACCUCCUGGGUUAAGUACUCGGGGGAGUGACGGACCUGAGAAUAAGACACCGG
rnacentral:rRNA from 1 species